GAUCUGUGCUGACAGCAGAGAGCCCGAUGCAGGGCUUGAACUCACGAACCGUGAGAUCAUGACCUGAGCCUAAGUCUGACGCUUAACCGACGGAGCUAGACGGGCGCCCCAGAUUUCAGACUCUAGAUGGCAUCAACUUUUACCUAGCCUGCCCACCUUCCUUCCAGAUUUCAGAUUUGCCAGCUUCCACGAUGACAUAAGUCAAUUCCUUAAAAUAAUUCUCUCGCUCUCUCAGUACAUGUGUUAUAGAUAGAUAUCUGUAUCCAUACCUAUACAUGAUAUAUGAUGUUCAUGAUAUGUAUAUAUCCUAUAAAUGUUUCUCUGGUGAACCCUGACUAAUACAUACCGCACCCCCCCCUCACCCCCGCAGCCUUUGCCUUCAACCUGGUCUUGGAUCUGGUUCAAGGUCUAGGGGACCUGGUUCCCUUUCUGCGAUGGCAGGAAUUGACUGGGUCCCCCAGCAUCCCCUGGGCCUAGAAUAGGGCCUUCCUGUAAUAGGCCUUAAUAUGUAUUUGUUGCACACUGAAUGAGUUCAUUUGGAAAACAAGAAAGACCUACCCCCCCCCCCCCCAACCAAUCAAAUAACCAUCCAAGGCAGCACAGGCAGUUCCUGACUUAUAAAUGGGUUGAGUUCCAAAAAUUCAUUUGAAUUAGUUGUCUGAAGCUUUUUCCCAUAACAACAAGGAUAUCAGUGCUGGCAUGGCUCCAGGGCUGGCUGCCAAAAACCUAUUUAACCCGUAGUAUAGAUUAAGUACUGUGCAUUUGCCAUGAAAAAUAGUAGAAAACAAUACUCUUGCAAGGCUAGUAAUUAAAAGAGAAAUAUGAUAGUAUUGAAUAAAAAUAGAUGAAAUUUUUCAUUUUGAACAUUGGAGUGUGAGGAAAAAUAGGAAAGGAUGAGCAAAGUAGAGAGAGACUUAUGGAAAAUCUGGAUGGAGUUUCUGAGUGGUUUCGAAGGUUUCAGAAGCCAAUGGGGCCGAGUCUUUAUUUGAUCUAAUUUCUGCUCGGAACUCACGGUUAUUCUUCCCCUUCCCCGUUUGCUAUAUAAUGAGGCUCCUUCUUAUUGGUCUCAAUUAAAACCAUUAGUUUGUCCACAAAUGUAACAAAAAGAGGAAGUAAAGGCACCCGGGGCUGCAGGAGCAAAAGCUAGAGAGAGAAAGCCCGCAAACCAUUGAGAAAGGGUGUGCACCGAAACGGGAAGGGGCAAAGGAGGCCAGGGUCAGCCGUGAGCCCAGCUCCAAAGCUGUGCAGGGAAUGCGGAGCUGCUGACUCUGCAGUGCCCCGCGCCGGUCACCAGGAGGCACUGUUGUGCUGUCCUCACCCAAGGCCGGGGGUGAGGUGCCUUUGAGGAGCAGGUGGGGAAAAGCGGGAGGGAGAGCAUGUGGUGGACUUUUCCAAGCUGAGUGUUCCUCCUGCAAAGGCAUUCUCCAGUUCUAAAGAUGGAGAUGAGUGUUGCAGACCAAAAAACGCCCAGCAUCCAGAGUGGGGAGUGUGGACUGUGGGAGACUCACGGGGAAGUUGAGCCCGGGACUGACCCUUCUGGACCAGCAUUACAGGGCCGGUGGCAGGAAGGCAGGGGGCAAGUUUCAAAAAAAGCCAUUGGGAGCAAAGUUCCUGAAGCAAGAGGUCGCCCGGUGUGUUCUGGGAAGGGAAAUAACCCUGCGACAUGGACUUUGUGAAAUAAAGCAACAUAAAUGGGGAUGUGAGGAUAGAGAGGUCUUGUCGUUUGUUUUUUUUUUUUUAACGUGGGGAGGGAGGAACAAGACGAUGAGUUCUUUUGUAAAAACCAAAAGCUUUUGAUUUUGAAGUUUUUUCAGAUUUGCAGAAAAGUUGCAAAGAUAGUGCAGAGUUCCAUGUACCCUUCACCCAGCUUCCCCUAAUGUUAACCUCUUACACAAUCACGGCACAUGUAUCCAAACUAAGAGAUUAACACCGGUACAAUGCUAGUAUGGAAACUAGAUUUUAUUCCACUUUUGCCAGCUUUCCCACUGAGCGUCUUCCGUUCCGGGAUCGCGUCGAGGAUACCGUGUUCCAUUCAGUCCUCUGUCUUCUCCAACCUGUGACCAUUUCUCAGCUUUCCCCCAUGUUUUUGGUUUUUAGGAAGAAUACCACAGGGGAGAAGUAUCCUUCCCAUUGAAUUAUAUCAGGAGGCACAUGAUCUCGCUGUGACUUAUUACUGGGGACACGAGCUCUUGAAGGCUCGCUCUCUCUCUCUUUCAGCCUAAUUUUCCAGAAUAAUGUAGUAUUCCUGCCUCCACGUACCUUAGUAUCCAGAUGAACUAGAAAAUCUUUCCUGCCCCUGGGAAACUGCGUGCUUUAUCCUCUGUGGAUAAUUGAUCAUCAGGAUUUUCUGUUGAAACAUUACUAGCUCUCUCUUCCCGUACUUUGUUAGAAGCGGGUCACUAAGUCCAUACCCAAGGAGAUGGAAGUGAAGCUCCACCUCCUGGAGGAAAGAGCAGCGAAGGAUUUUUGAAGAUGUGGCAAAACCACCAGUCAUCAGCGACCACGUUUUGCGGAUGCUUAGGCAGCCUAUGGAGAGGCCCGUGGGAGGAGGAAUUGAGGCCUGCCAGCAACCAAAGGCGGGAGCUUACAAGUGGAUCCUCCCCACUGUCCUAAGAAAGCCUUUAGAGGAGGCCACAGCUCGGGUCUUCAGCUUGACUCCAACCUCGUAAGAGGCUUUGAACCCUAGUCAUCCGGCAGAGACAUGCUCGGAUUCGUGAUGCACAGAAACUCUGAGGUAGCAAAUGUUUGCUUUUCUAGGCUACUGAGUUUUGGGGUUUCUUGUUACACGGAACGAUAGAUAAUUAGUAAACCUGUAAUAUCACCAA